rnacentral:rRNA from 1 species
UACGUAUGGUGCAAGCGUUAUCCGGAAUGACUGGGUGUAAAGGGAGCGUAGACGGUUGUACAAGUCUGAUGUGAAAGCCCACGGCUCAACUGUGGGAGUGCAUUGGAAACUGUAGAACUAGAGUAUCGGAGAGGCAAGUGGAAUUCCUAGUGUAGCGGUGAAAUGCGUAGAUAUUACGAAGAACCCCGAUUGCGAAGGCAGCAUACCGGCUCCACACUGACGCUGAGGCACGAAAGCGUGGGUAUCGAACAGG